UACACGAGCGGCGAACGGGUGAGUAACACGUGAGCAACCUGCCCCUGACUCUGGGAUAAGCGGUGGAAACGCCGUCUAAUACCGGAUACGACCGGCCACCUCAUGGUGGACGGUGGAAAGUUUUAUCGGUCAGGGAUGGGCUCGCGGCCUAUCAGCUAGUUGGUGGGGUAAAGGCCUACCAAGGCGAUUACGGGUAGCCGGCCUGAGAGGGCGACCGGCCACACUGGGACUGAGACACGGCCCAGACUCCUGCGGGAGGCAGCAGUGGGGAAUAUUGCGCAAUGGGCGAAAGCCUGACGCAGCGACGCCGCGUGGGGGAUGACGGCCUUCGGGUUGUAAACCUCUUUUACCACCAACGCAGGCUCCACGUUCUCGUGGGGUUGACGGUAGGUGGGGAAUAAGGACCGGCUAACUACGUGCCAGCAGCCGCGGUAAUACGUAGGGUCCGAGCGUUGUCCGGAAUUAUUGGGCGUAAAGAGCUCGUAGGCGGCGUGUCGCGUCUGCUGUGAAAGACCGGGGCUUAACUCCGGUUCUGCAGUGGAUACGGGCAUGCUAGAGGUAGGUAGGGGAGACUGGAAUUCCUGGUGUAGCGGUGAAAUGCGCAGAUAUCAGGAGGAACACCGGUGGCGAAGGCGGGUCUCUGGGCCUUACCUGACGCUGAGGAGCGAAAGCAUGGGGAGCGAACAGGAUUAGAUACCCUGGUAGUCCAUGCCGUAAACGUUGGGCGCUAGG
rnacentral:rRNA from 1 species